AUUGAACGCUGGCGGCAGGCCUAAUACAUGCAAGUCGAGCGGUAGCACAGAGAGCUUGCUCUCGGGUGACGAGCGGCGGACGGGUGAGUAAUGUCUGGGAAACUGCCUGAUGGAGGGGGAUAACUACUGGAAACGGUAGCUAAUACCGCAUAAUGUCGCAAGACCAAAGUGGGGGACCUUCGGGCCUCAUGCCAUCAGAUGUGCCCAGAUGGGAUUAGCUAGUAGGUGGGGUAACGGCUCACCUAGGCGACGAUCCCUAGCUGGUCUGAGAGGAUGACCAGCCACACUGGAACUGAGACACGGUCCAGACUCCUACGGGAGGCAGCAGUGGGGAAUAUUGCACAAUGGGCGCAAGCCUGAUGCAGCCAUGCCGCGUGUGUGAAGAAGGCCUUCGGGUUGUAAAGCACUUUCAGCGGGGAGGAAGGCGGUGAGGUUAAUAACCUCAUCGAUUGACGUUACCCGCAGAAGAAGCACCGGCUAACUCCGUGCCAGCAGCCGCGGUAAUACGGAGGGUGCAAGCGUUAAUCGGAAUUACUGGGCGUAAAGCGCACGCAGGCGGUCUGUCAAGUCGGAUGUGAAAUCCCCGGGCUCAACCUGGGAACUGCAUUCGAAACUGGCAGGCUAGAGUCUUGUAGAGGGGGGUAGAAUUCCAGGUGUAGCGGUGAAAUGCGUAGAGAUCUGGAGGAAUACCGGUGGCGAAGGCGGCCCCCUGGACAAAGACUGACGCUCAGGUGCGAAAGCGUGGGGAGCAAACAGGAUUAGAUACCCUGGUAGUCCACGCCGUAAACGAUGUCGAUUUGGAGGUUGUGCCCUUGAGGCGUGGCUUCCGGAGCUAACGCGUUAAAUCGACCGCCUGGGGAGUACGGCCGCAAGGUUAAAACUCAAAUGAAUUGACGGGGGCCCGCACAAGCGGUGGAGCAUGUGGUUUAAUUCGAUGCAACGCGAAGAACCUUACCUGGUCUUGACAUCCACAGAACUUUCCAGAGAUGGAUUGGUGCCUUCGGGAACUGUGAGACAGGUGCUGCAUGGCUGUCGUCAGCUCGUGUUGUGAAAUGUUGGGUUAAGUCCCGCAACGAGCGCAACCCUUAUCCUUUGUUGCCAGCGGUUAGGCCGGGAACUCAAAGGAGACUGCCAGUGAUAAACUGGAGGAAGGUGGGGAUGACGUCAAGUCAUCAUGGCCCUUACGACCAGGGCUACACACGUGCUACAAUGGCAUAUACAAAGAGAAGCGACCUCGCGAGAGCAAGCGGACCUCAUAAAGUAUGUCGUAGCCCGGAUUGGAGUCUGCAACUCGACUCCAUGAAGUCGGAAUCGCUAGUAAUCGUAGAUCAGAAUGCUACGGUGAAUACGUUCCCGGGCC
rnacentral:rRNA from 1 species